rnacentral:misc_RNA from 1 species
GGCCGAAACCGUAAGGCCUACGACUCAUACGGGCAUUUGGGUGCUUGCAGUGAAGACCAACCUCGACCCGAGCCGCCAAACAGGAGUGUAAGAAAAUUGGGUCAAGUCGCCAAGAAGCAAGUGUGAGAGGGAGCUGCUACGAAGACAACAAAACAACAAAACUCCGGAUUCACCCUUCAAAACUAUGGCGGGAACGCAGGACCAAAAGUGGCAAAAGGAUGCAGUGGACCAGAACUUUGAUUAUAUGUUCAAAAUCCUCAUUAUUGGAAACAGCAGUGUUGGCAAGACAUCGUUCCUGUUUCGCUACGCGGACGACUCCUUUACGUCAGCCUUUGUCUCCACGGUAGGCAUAGACUUCAAAGUCAAGACGGUCUUCCGACAUGACAAGAGGGUCAAGCUCCAAAUUUGGGACACAGCUGGCCAGGAGCGCUACCGAACAAUCACAACGGCCUACUACCGUGGAGCUAUGGGCUUCAUCCUUAUGUAUGAUGUUACUAACGAAGAGUCUUUCAACAGUGUUCAAGACUGGGUUACGCAGAUCAAGACAUACUCGUGGGACAACGCGCAAGUUAUCUUGGUAGGCAACAAGUGUGACAUGGAGGACGAGCGAGUGGUGAGCGCCGAGCGCGGUCGACAGCUUGCCGACCAGCUCGGACUGGAGUUCUUUGAGACGUCGGCCAAAGAAAAUGUCAAUGUCAAGGCCGUCUUCGAGCGCCUCGUCGACAUCAUCUGCGACAAGAUGUCCGAGAGCCUCGACUCAGACCCCGCGCUCCUGGCGGGCGGAGGCGCCAAGGGCACGCACCUCACCGACAACCCCGCCGCACCUCCGAAUGCCUCCUGCCAGUGCUAGAGCUCCUUCCUCCUGUUCCUCCUCGCCCCUGUCCCCUCCGGUCAGCCUCUGCCCGUCAAGCUGCCCGUAGAGGCCACGCGGCACUUGGCUUCCUCGCGGCAGACCGGUGCUGCGUUCUCGGUGGAUCACUUCCAGCGAUACUUUCACUUUCGUGCGGCGUAGCAUCCACUGGCCCAGUGCCUAAAAAAAAACUGAUGGCGAAUUCUUUUUUUCAUGUUAGAGCAGCUUUCUGUUGCUUUUGCAUGUGAGACAGUUCAUUCCCUCUUGUUGAUUAAGUGCAGGGAUCACUUUCUUCUUUCUUGCAGACUUGAGGGUUAAAUCAACUUAAACCAGCGGUAAAGCAAAAGGACAGGGCACGAAUACAAAGAAACAAGACUGCAUGUGUGAAGCAGUCUAGCUGGCAUUUAUUGCAAAGUUCAGUUCUCUUGUUUCACUGUUAGUGCAAGGACGGGUGAAGUUUGCCAGCUAGCCCUCUUUCAAGCCUCAUUAAGCCCAUAGUUUGUGGUGGAGGGCACGUUACAUGGAGUUCACGGGUAAGAUGCAAGCUUGCGCCAAAUCAACAAAGCGAACAUACUUUCUGAAGUUUGCAGCAGUGAAUUGCUGCACUGGCACUGUAGUGGACGGCAUUACCCAAGAUCACAAUGUUUUUGCCACCUUCUACCUGAUGGCAACGAGACGCGAGUGUUAUGCUGACAGAAAAACGUAACCUUCCCUCAAAUUUUCACAGCGAGCAGGUCUUCUUGUUGUAUUUGAUGCAGGUCCUGUGUGCUUUCGGUCCGUGUCUCAAAUCUCCUUGUCAUGGCACAGGACCGUCGUAAAUCAACUAUAGUAUUGUCAGCUGUUUGCUACCUAUGGGUGCAUUCACACCGGCGAUUGACAGAAGUUGCACGACUGACUGAGACCAGUGACUAAGAAGUGACUCAAGGUGGCUGAUGUUCACACUGGCGGGGACAACUGGUCCUUCGCCACACUGAAAAGUCCCGCGAUUGAUGUCGUUCACGUCUGCUCUCAUCGCCACGUAAAAGAAGCAGACGUCCUGCUCCUGUGCCGCUGAUUGGUUCAUGAGCAUUGAUUGGCUGAUUUUAGUGGAAGCAGAUGGUACGGAAGGAAUGGCACACUCAGGAUUGUUUUUGCAUCGCACAGUCCUGGAGCGCGUUAAAUCAAGGUCAGUCUAUUCAGUGAGACGACGCGGAAAAGAGAGACAUCCCUAAAAGUGACAGGUCAAGAACACACCCCUUGCCUUCGCAGAUGGUUCGCCAGAACAUUGCUGCAGUGUGAAUCGAGCCUCGCAAGGCCUCUGUUUGCGGCUGUUGCUGUGUGGUUGUCUGAUUUAAGGAAAAGGUGUAUGUUCUUCGUGUACGUCUCCGCUUGUUUACAAACAUCCGCCUGCCCAUUGCCUUCUCGCGAUGGAGCGAAGUGGUGGUCCUUUUAUUUGGGUGUCACACGUGUCCCCCGGCGAUGUGGCGGGAGAGACGAAAGACGCCUGUUGACAAUGAGUGUGACUUCUGUAAAUGCUGGUUGCCCGUGUAUAAAUGUGUACAUAUAUUCUCUUACGAGCAUUGUUCCCCACUGCAACCUGUUUCCCCACUUACGUCCCCAUUCGUCCCCAACUCCCCUGGUGUUAUUAAUGAAAAGACGGUGGCGAGAGAGACCAGAAGAGCCCUGCAAUAAGAAGCAAACACAGAUUUCAGAAAAAAAAAAAGGGACACCCUUUCUUCUUGUUAGUUGAGGGCAGAGAUGUGAUAAAGCGUGG